rnacentral:rRNA from 1 species
ACGCUCGACACCUACGGGAGCCAGCAGUGGGGAAUAUUGCACAAUGGGGGAAACCCUGAUGCAGCGACGCCGCGUGGAGGAAGAAGGUCUUCGGAUUGUAAACUCCUGUUGUUGGGGAAAAAGAGGAUGGUACCCAACAAGGAAGUGACGGCUAACUACGUGCCAGANCCGCCGGUAAGUACUGAGCGGGCGUGGCGAAGGACG